rnacentral:rRNA from 1 species
CAGUAGCCGCGGUAAUACCGAGGGUGCGAGCGUUAAUCGGAUUUACUGGGCGUAAAGCGUGCGUAGGCGGCUUUUUAAGUCGGAUGUGAAAUCCCUGAGCUUAACUUAGGAAUUGCAUUCGAUACUGGGAAGCUAGAGUAUGGGAGAGGAUGGUAGAAUUCCAGGUGUAGCGGUGAAAUGCGUAGAGAUCUGGAGGAAUACCGAUGGCGAAGGCAGCCAUCUGGCCUAAUACUGACGCUGAGGUACGAAAGCAUGGGGAGCAAACAGGAUUAGAUACCCCUGUAGUCCCUGUCUCUUAUAA